AAAGGGCAACAUAGUGUGGUUCUUAUGGCAAUUGUUAAUGCAAAAAACCAAUUUAUUUAUAUAGACGUUGGCAUGAAUGGCAGAAUAUCCGAUGGAGGGGUUCUACAAAACACUAUUUUUUUUUUUAAAAUUAGAAAAUAGUGAUUUACAUAUUCCAAGCAGUGAAUUGUUAACAGGAAGUAACCGAAAUUUACCAUAUGUAUUUGUGGCAGAUGACGCGUUCCCAUUACGCCCCGAUAUGAUAAAACCGUUUCGACAGGCAGAUUUAACAUAACAAGAAAGAAGAAUCCUGAAUUACAGAUUAUCUCGCGCGAGACGGACUGUUGAAAACGCUUUCGGGAUAAUGGCAUCAAGAUUUCGGAUAUUUUAUACUCAUAUAAAUUUAGAAACCGAAAAUAUUGAUAAAGUAGUGAAAGCAUCUUGUGUAUUACAUAACUUUUUAAUUGAACACUCAAAAAAGUCUUAUGCACCUCAAAAAUGUUUUUAUCGAGAAAACUCUGAAAAGGGACCAUAAUAUCUGAAGGAUACAGUACACAAAAUAGCACCAUGGAAAACUUGGAAAGAAGAAACCCAGGAAAUACUUUGAACAACGCGAAGAUAGUCUGAAACAAUUUUUUGAAUUAUUUCAAUCAGGAUGGAAGGGUACAUAUGGCAAAAUGAUCAUGUAAAUUAAAUAAUACCUAAGGCUGAACGGGCAGAGUAGGUACAUAGUUCUAAAUAGUUAUAGUUAGAAAUAAUUAUGUUAUUAUUAUAUUACUUAAUUAAAAAAAAAUACUACAAAUUAUGAAAUAUUUUACUUACCUCACAACUAUUUUCGUCAUCACUAUCUAAGUUGGAUGAAGAUUCCCUUGGAGUGCAUUGAUCAUGAAUGAAAUUGAACAAAUCGUAGUACCACAGUUUAAUUAAUACGAUACACAUCAUCAGCAGAUGCCCCAGACUUUAAAGAUUGCUCAUAUUUCUUCGUUUCCUUUCUAACAUUGCUUCUUAGGUUAUUGAUCUUUUUCACAACUACAUCUUUGUUCGCAUCUGGCUCAAUUAUUCUCAACUAGCUGUUCCCGCACGCUUCGCUUCGCCUUAAAAAGUUUUCCCGUGGGAAUUCCGGGAUAAAAAGUAGCCUAUGUUCUUACUUACUUACAGACAGACAGACACAGUUACUUUCGCAUUUAUAAUAUUAGUUAGGAUUUUUCUAUGAGUAAUUUAUAAGCAGCUUCUUUUUUGUCUCGAUUAUGGUAAUCUUUGUUUUUAAUUUGCCAUAGACAUGGAUUACUUCUAUAAAUUUCAAUAAAAUCUUCAAGAAUUUUUUUAGUUGAAUCUGGUGGCGCCAUUUUCUGGCAAUACGAUGCGAGCGAUGAGACGCCCGUUUGAAAGAAACACUAGAAAACAACUGACGCGACCUGCGCAGGCGACCGGAGUACACGCACACACGCACAGGUACACCGUACUGUGUCACUCGAAAGAAUCGAUUUUCGAUCUUGCGCUGGUUGCCUGCGCAGGGGGCCUACUCGGUAACGCGAAAAUCGAAAUAACGUUCAACGUUCGGGCCAUUUCGCACUCUGUAGGGAGAGUUUUACGCACGAACGAACGAAACAACGAAGUUUCGAUUUUCUAUACAAAAUGGUACUCCGAACUGCAAUGUCAAACACGUAAUAUUAUAGGUUAACUGGUAGAAAAUGCUGCUAGCAUUAAGUUCGCCUUUGUACCAAUUUACUUUGUGCAAUAAAGAAUUUAAUAAUAUUGAGUUUGACAGCUCAUUUACUGUCAGUUUUACUUCAAAUUUCACGUCUACACAAGAGGUAACGUGGAGAUAUUCGUUUUGCUGUAAUUGCUGAAAAUAACAUAAAGAAUGGCUAGGUAUUUGCUGAUGCAAGAAAUUCUGCGGGACGAGAGAAGGAAAAGGCGAGAGGCCCUAAGAAGAAACUUCCGCUUGCACACAAUUCCCGACUCUGAAUUCGUAAAUAACUACCGUCUGAGUCGGGAAUUGUUCCAAACGGUGUGUGAAGAGAUUGUCCCGUUUCUUCCUCCAAGGAUACGACACCGGGGUAUUGAUCCCAUAAUGAAGGUAAAACUCAACAAGUAUCUUAUUUUCAUAUUACCUUUAACCAUAAAAAUCAGACGAUAAAUAACGUAAAUAUCAGACAAUGAUAAAACAUAACUGACUUAACAUAAUUUCCGGAUUUAUUUCAGAUUUUGGUAGUAUUAAACUUCUAUGCAAGGGGUAGUUAUCAAGGUGCCGUAGGCCUCAACAGCGAUGUACCCAUGGCACAGCAAACUAUGUCUAGGUGCAUCCAUGAGGUCACGGAUGCCUUGAAUCGAGCUGAGAUUUUGAGGAAGUACAUUCGCUUCCCACAAAAUAGGGAAGAAAGGAAUGUCAUCAAACAAAAGUAAGACAAAAUUUGAUUUACAGUUACUUAGACCUACAAUUAUUGCAAAAAACAAUCUAUUUAAUAGAUUUAUAUUUCAGAUUUUCCGAUAGAUAUGGUAUACCGGGGGUAUGUGGCUGCAUAGACUGCACCCACAUUAAAAUAAUAAGGCCCGCUGAGCAUGAAGAGCGGUGCUUUAAUAGGAAACAUUGGCAUUCCAUUAACUGCCAAGUGGUGACUCAGGGUAUCCUCUCCGGUCAUUCAUGAUGACUCCAGUGGACCAUGCAGUAGACGACUCAACUGAAGGGCGCUACAAUAUAAUUCAGAAACGUGCCCGUUCCACUGUAGAGCGCACAUUUGGAAUACUAAAAGGGAGAUGGAGAUGCUUAUUAGCCGCCAGAGAAUUACAUUACACUCCUGAGACCGCUGGCAAAAUUGCAAUUGCAUGCAGUGUAUUGCACAACAUGUGCAUACAUGCUCGGCUCGACCAUCCUGAAUUAGCAGAGGAGGACCUCGCAGCUGAGAACGCCCUGCCUAUUCCCCAGCAAGCUGCAAUUCCACAAGGACGGGCAUUGGAGGAAGGAAGAAGAGUACGCAGAGUACUAAUAAAUUUAUUAGAGGCAUAAUAUGCCCCCGGCUUUGUAUGGAUAUACUUAUAUAAGACAAAACAAUCCUUAUUGUGAGGUUGUAGAAGAGAUUAGUAAUACGGCCGCUGAUUGUACUAUUUCUUUUCUAUGUUUGUGAAACUGUUUCUGUUUGUGUGCAAUAAAGAGUAUUUUAUCUUUA